UAGGGCGGGACACGUGAUAUCCUGUCUGAAUAUGGGGGGACCAUCCUCCAAGGCUAAAUACUCCUGACUGACCGAUAGUGAACCAGUACCGUGAGGGAAAGGCGAAAAGAACCCCUGUGAGGGGAGUGAAAUAGAACCUGAAACCGUGUACGUACAAGCAGUAGGAGCACCUUCGUGGUGUGACUGCGUACCUUUUGUAUAAUGGGUCAGCGACUUAUAUUCAGUGGCAAGGUUAACCGUAUAGGGGAGCCGUAGCGAAAGCGAGUCUUAACUGGGCGCUCAGUCUCUGGAUAUAGACCCGAAACCGGGUGAUCUAGCCAUGGGCAGGUUGAAGGUUGAGUAACAUCAACUGGAGGACCGAACCGACUAAUGUUGAAAAAUUAGCGGAUGACUUGUGGCUAGGGGUGAAAGGCCAAUCAAACUCGGAGAUAGCUGGUUCUCCCCGAAAGCUAUUUAGGUAGCGCCUCGGACGAAUACUACUGGGGGUAGAGCACUGUUAAGGCUAGGGGGUCAUCCCGACUUACCAACCCUUUGCAAACUCCGAAUACCAGUAAGUACUAUCCGGGAGACACACGGCGGGUGCUAACGUCCGUCGUGGAGAGGGAAACAACCCAGACCGCCAGCUAAGGUCCCAAAGUAUUGCUAAGUGGGAAACGAUGUGGGAAGGCUCAGACAGCUAGGAUGUUGGCUUAGAAGCAGCCAUCAUUUAAAGAAAGCGUAAUAGCUCACUAGUCGAGUCGGCCUGCGCGGAAGAUGUAACGGGGCUAAGCAAUACACCGAAGCUGCGGCAAUGUCUUUUAGACAUUGGGUAGGGGAGCGUUCUGUAAGCCGUUGAAGGUGAAUCGUAAGGUUUGCUGGAGGUAUCAGAAGUGCGAAUGCUGACAUGAGUAACGACAAAGGGGGUGAAAAACCUCCUCGCCGGAAGACCAAGGGUUCCUGUCCAACGUUAAUCGGGGCAGGGUGAGUCGACCCCUAAGGUGAGGCCGAAAGGCGUAAUCGAUGGGAAACGGGUUAAUAUUCCCGUACUUCUGACUAUUGCGAUGGGGGGACGGAGAAGGCUAGGUGGGCCAGGCGACGGUUGUCCUGGUUCAAGUGCGUAGGCUUGAGAGUUAGGUAAAUCCGGCUCUCUCUAAGGCUGAGACACGACGUCGAGCUACUACGGUAGUGAAGUCAUUGAUGCCAUGCUUCCAGGAAAAGCCUCUAAGCUUCAGAUAGUCAGGAAUCGUACCCCAAACCGACACAGGUGGUCGGGUAGAGAAUACCAAGGCGCUUGAGAGAACUCGGGUGAAGGAACUAGGCAAAAUGGUACCGUAACUUCGGGAGAAGGUACGCUCUUGAUGGUGAAGUCCCUCGCGGAUGGAGCUGACGAGAGUCGCAGAUACCAGGUGGCUGCAACUGUUUAUUAAAAACACAGCACUGUGCAAAAUCGCAAGAUGACGUAUACGGUGUGACGCCUGCCCGGUGCCGGAAGGUUAAUUGAUGGGGUUAGCGCAAGCGAAGCUCUUGAUCGAAGCCCCGGUAAACGGCGGCCGUAACUAUAACGGUCCUAAGGUAGCGAAAUUCCUUGUCGGGUAAGUUCCGACCUGCACGAAUGGCGUAAUGAUGGCCACGCUGUCUCCACCCGAGACUCAGUGAAAUUGAAAUCGCUGUGAAGAUGCAGUGUACCCGCGGCUAGACGGAAAGACCCCGUGAACCUUUACUACAGCUUGGCACUGAACAUUGAACCUACAUGUGUAGGAUAGGUGGGAGGCUAUGAAGACGUGACGCCAGUUGCGUUGGAGCCGUCCUUGAAAUACCACCCUUGUAUGU
rnacentral:rRNA from 1 species